rnacentral:lncRNA from 1 species
AAAAAAAAGGAGUGGAAGUCAAGACCAAGCCCAAUUAUAGAAAUAAAAUGCUUAAAGAUAGGCCAGACAUUAUCAACUACGGUGAAGUUUUCAAGGGUUGCAGACAAGAAAGAAGCAUACCGACAAUGGCAGUGAAGAAGUGGCUGACGAAUAUAAGUGCAAGACCCUCUGUUGGUCCAUUGAUGACCGGAAGAAUAAGUGUGUUGGUGAAAUAGCUAGAUACGUGUUGAGUAAAAAGUCUUAGAACGGAUCUUAACAAAAUAUUCUACAAGUAUUAAUGUGUUAUGAGACAUAAGCAGAGAGUUCGAAGUAGGACUUACUGCUCCCAUGUAGCUCCAUAGAAGGGAAUAGCUGAAAUAACCCAGAACCAGAAAGUGUCUCUUCCACACAUCGCAGUGCUUCCAAAUGCCAUGGCUUCAAACUGUUUUCAUUGUUAAAACUUUUAGCAUCAACUCCAGGACAAGUACGAAGUAGUAGAAGCAAAGAAGAUAAAUAGGAUAGUUAGGUACAUACCGCACAAGCAAGUGCAUCACAACCUGCCAAAUGGAACACAUGUCAGCAAAAUCUAGAAAACAGCUGAAAAAAAAAAAAAAAAAUCAAAGAAGAAACAUGGGGAAAACAAAUGACCAUGAUCGAAGAGCUCUCCUAAGGGGCUAGAGGAAUUUGUCCUUCUUGCUUGCUUCCCAUCAACCGCAUCAAAUGUCUAAUAAAAUCUCAAAAGGUGUCAAGAAAAAAAGACUAAAAAACAAAUUCACAGGCAGAUAGAAACGAAAGUUAGACUUUUGAAGAAAGGAGACCUGAUACAAGAAUAGAAGUAAACCGUGUGCGAAGUGAACCCAUCGUGGAGGAGGAGAAUCCAACUGUGGUGAAUAUAUCUGAGACAGGUAAAGAAAAAUGUCUUUAAAGUCUAAUCUAUAUGCUUAACGCCGACAUUUUCACCGACCAAAAAAAAGACCAAAUGCUUAACGAGGCUAAAGAACAAGACAUAAAAUCACUCACGUAGCCUAGCAGGGACUCAAACCUCUCUGAUCUCUUAACGUUAGACCUUAUCUUAGACCAGCCAAACCUCUCCUCUUCCCAUUUCAUCUGCUCCAAGACCACAGAGCCAAGACCUAUCUUCUCCUCGGUCCCUGAGACACUAAACCAGACAACUUUAUCUGAAUCCACACCUUUUGCCUCUCUUGCAAUCUCCCCUCCUCCAAGCUUAACCACUUCUGUUUCCACCUCCACGUCAACCACUGCCUCAAACUGCUUAUCCUCAACGUUCUCGCAGAAGAAAACCUCUUCAAAUCUUUGGUGAAGGGUCAUGCUGUAAUACAUGGAUCUCCUCAUCUGAUCCUUUGCAUCUCCUUCUUUUACAAACAAGAAGGGGACAUACCACUUCCCAACGACAACGCUCUUAUCAAAAUCAGGAAGCUCGUAACGAAGCUUUGCAUCUACUACGCCCUUUGCAUCAUCAACCAAACCAAAGUCUUCAGAAGACGAGAAAGGAACCGUCCAGCCUUUCCUCCUAAGGAACCGGGGUGGUAUUCCAUCCGAAGCAACGGAUGUGGCGAAGAACUUACGUGUUGAUGAGCCUCUUUGAUGGAUCUCAAACUGUUGGUAUGUGUCAUAAGGAUCUAGAGGCCUUGGAGUAGCGUUGGGGAUGUAAGAAAAGCAAAAGCAACAAGGUGCCCUGUCUCCUUCUUUUGCACUAACACAUCGAAACUGUUUCGAUCAUCGCUGAUUGGAGAAGAGGAUCGAAGAUUGAGCUGGGCUCAGUCGCUCUGAUACCAUAUUGAGAAACAGAAUGUAAUAUGAAAUAUCUUCAUUAAAAUUAAAAUGAGUACAAGGAGGAGUAUUUAUACUCAAAUACAUUAGACUGCUCUACACUAAUAUCUACUCUAUACAAGUAUGUGUAUGUGUACAAUAUACAGUAUGUAAUAGCUUCUCUGAUCACAUUUAAAAACAACAAAGGUUAACGGUUUUAAACUUGCAUAGUCAGGCAAUAGAUUCAUUACCCCGUGUGUUUCCCGCUUCGCCUUAUAACGUAGUAAAGAUUGGAGGAAGGAGGUUGAUGAAGAACAGGAACGAAAGCGACCGAGUCAAGCAGGACAAUCCUGUCAUCUCCACCUAUAUUGAAACAAGAGUUCAGAUACCAAAACAGAAACAAGUUUGAGCAAAAGGUUUGGGAAUUAACAGAAAAGUAAACUAACUUCCUAUUUGGUACUUGACGGUGACUCUUGCGUUCUGAGGAAACGGCAAACCGUUGAGAUCACAGUCAAAACAUUUUCCGAAGCAACACUUGGGCUGAGACUCUUCGUCUUGGAUCACCAGCACACCUGAGUUUGGACCUUCUGCUUGCACGGUUAGCUCAGAUGGGUUUCUCUGGUAUUCAGUCAAACGCUUAGUAACAUACAUCUCUUCUUUGUUUCUCAUCAAGAUCUAUCUUGUCUCAUCGUUUAUAUAAACAACAAAGGAUCACAGGAACGUGCGAGGAAGUUUACUAGCUAUUGUUUAUAAGCUAAUCUUUGACCCAAUCUGAGGUUUGACUUAAACAUUUGUCAGAAUCUCAUGUGGAUGAUUUCUCUAGGAAGACAUAAUAUUUGGUUAUUUAUUCACCUGAAGAGGUGAAGUGUAAGAACUAAUAACAAAUUUAACUGUAAACAAAUCACACUGAUCGAUGGAAGCUAACAUCAUUUGAAAAUUCGAGACUCAAGCCAGCUUUUAUAAAAUAGUUUUUCAUAUUUUUGUUUAACAUGCAUAAACAUUAUACAAAAGUUCUACCUAUCCUGAUCAAACAAAAUACGAUAAUGAAUAAGAAGAAAAUACAUCACUGAUCUAAACCAUAUUUGAUCUUUCGCCGUAUUGAUCCAACGGUCCACACAGAAAAACAGCACCCUUGAUUGAGGUUUCUUCUUCAAGCUUCUUUACGCGUGAUCCUGUGGACAACAAGAAACAAAAACAUUAAUUUAUUAAGUUUUCAAAACGAGAAGCUUGCUCAUAGAUUUUGAUCAAAAACUUCACCUGAAACAGUAGAUUCCAAGAGCAGUAGUGAUCUCAUGGAUGACAGAUGUGGCGAAGUGCAAGUAUAAUGACACUGUUUUCAACCAAGACAACGUUAGUGAAGAGAAGAACAAAGAGCUAGAGCCAAGUAAAGGUUUUAUUUGUUUUAGGAGCAAACCUGUGAAUAUACAGUAGCCAAGGAGAACCCAUAACUCAUCAACUAGAGGAACCCUGAAAGACACAAGUUUGCCAGUUUUAUAAAGGCAAAAGAAACCGAUGGAUGUUUCUGCAGAAGAAUGUAAAGAUGAAUAAAGAAACAUACCCAUCAUUCAAUCUUGCGGUUAAAGCGUUUGCAAGUGCAAAGGGAAGAUAGACUAGAGACUGCAUUUUUAGAUUUGAAAAAAAAAAACAUAACAUUAAGGUUUACAUUUUCCGUAACCAGUAAGGUUGGAGAAGGUGGCGAGAAAUAAGUUAUUGGAUUUACCAAGCACAUGUUUGUUUUCAGUCCUUUCGGCUCAUCACACAAGUGAGCAAGAAUCAUUCUUCCCUGAGAAAAAUAAAAAACAUAAAAACCUUUUGAGUUACAACUUUUUGGAAUGAUAGUGAGUAGCAUUGAUCAGUAACCAAGAGAUCAAGACUUACCACUAGAAAUCCAAAUGCAAGCCCAGUUCCAAGUACAACCAAGUGAGGGUAUGUUUCUAUGAGAUUGAUUGGAGACAAGUAAUCCCUGUAGAAAUUAAAAACCCAAACAAUUUUCAACAACCAAGGAGAGAAAGAUCGCAAGUCCUUUUCAGAAAAGUAUAAAACAAGACUUACCAUAUCAAAACACCUCCAAGAAGAACCACGAAAGGAUACAGCUGCAUCCGAGAAUCAAACAGAACAUUAGUUCUCUAUAGUUUAAAAAACUAUGUUUCUAAAUCAACUGGUUAGGAGAUUACCAUAGCUAAUGCUAACAGCAUGCUCCCUUUUCUUGAUUGAACAACUUUGUAGACAUUUGACACACUGCAAAACGCAACCAGCUUAGAAAAUAGGAACUUAUCAGCUAAAGAGGACCUAAACCUAUCACUAACCAAUACUCUCUUCAAUUUUUUUAGAAACAAACACUGAAUCAUGUGACGAGAAUACUGUUCUUUCUUUAAAUCUUCAUGUAUUUCAUUACAAUUGAGUAUUAAUGUCAUCUCACUCACUUGAAUGCGACGGUUGGUAUAACGGCAAAAGCGAUCAUCAUGUAUAGGACUGCUCUGGAAGUUUGAAUCGCUAAAAAAGAGGACUCAAAAAUUAAUCAAGAGAGCAAAGGUAACAACGGUAGAAGAAAAAUUGGAGCAAAAACAAUAGAAAACUAUUUGUACCAUUAACAAAUGGCACCCAACUAAACAAUGGUAUGGACUGCCCCAAUUGCUGAGCCCACCAUUCAGCACCUUCACACAAUACAAAAAAAAAAGACAUAAAGACCAAACCCAACUACAGAAAGACAUUGGUAUGAAAUGAAAAUGGUUACAGAUAUGGCUAUGAAUAGCAGUGAAGUUCCCAAAGAUUUCAAAAAAGAAAGAAGCAUACCGACAAUGGCUGUGAAGAAGUGGCUGACGAAUAUAAGUGCAAGACCCUCUGUAGGUCCAUUGAUGACCGGAAGAAUAAGUGUGUUGGUGAAAUAGCU